GCAUUCUUUGUUUUUUUUCCUCAGCUGCUGUGAUAUCGUGCCCCAGUCUAGGAUUUCAGUCGAGAUACGAUGUCCAGCAAUCUACCAGGUUCGAUCGAGUUGCAAAAUCCCGUUUUUUUUCUCCGCCGUUGCGCGAUAUCUUAACCCAGUCAAGGGUUUCGAUCGAGUUGCUUCAUCUUCUUACUAUGGAUCCAUCAAUCUACCGGUUACAGAUGCAUCAUCUUAAAGUCUUUAUUAAAUCCAUCAUCCACGAUUUACAAUCAGUGUGAGGUUCUCUCUUGAAAGGCGGUGGAGAUUCGAUAUAAAAAGGUUAACAUCUCUACUCUCAAAAUCAUCCUACCAAUCUAUUCAAACAGGGAAAUCCACUUAUUUUCUGAGAAAUUGCUAACUCACAACCUUUUCUUUCCGAUUUGAACACGUUUCUCCCACAAUUGAGGUCAGGACAUAACUCUCAAUUGCCAAGCUCCUCUUUCCUACUCGACGAUUUGAAAGUCGGCCAUUGUAAUACUGGUCACGGUUAUCUUCUUCUGAGAGUUUUAGGGUUUUGUUAUGUGUUGUGCAGAUGAUCUUUAUCCUCUAUUGGCAAAGCCUGGAAAGGUCGUGGAUUUUUUAUUCUCAGAGAUUGAAGGGCUGUAUUUGCAAAACUUGCUCUGUUUCUCUUUGCAAGCUAACUAUGGAAUGACCCGAGAGAAAAAAAUCCCGGAGCAUCAAGGAUCAGAUUUGAUGUGGAGAGGAAAUGAGAUUAUGGCGCAAGAACUUUUUCCUCCUUCCCACCAACUCAUUAGCACGAAUCUUAGCAGCUAUUUCAUCUCUGUUAAACAAAAACAUCCACAUUUCAAGUGUAAUUAAAAGGUUAUCUUUUAUAUAUAUAGAUAUUCUACGAUAA